rnacentral:rRNA from 1 species
UACAGAGGUCUUAAGCGUUGUUCGGAUUCAUUGGGCGUAAAGGGUGUGUAGGUGGCGCCGUAAGUCGGGUGUGAAAUUCGGAGCUUAACUCCGAAACUGCAUUCGAUACUGCGGUGCUUGAGGACUGGAGAGGAGACUGGAAUUCAUGGUGUAGCAGUGAAAUGCGUAGAGAUCAUGAGGAAGACCAGUGGCGAAGGCGGGUCUCUGGACAGUUCCUGACACUGAGACACGAAGGCCAGGGGAGCAAACGGG